UGGGCUCCAGGCCUCCAACCCAGACGUGAGAAAUAUGGCCUCAUACUUCAUCGAUCCCACAACCACAUGGCACCGCUUCCCCUCCCCUUCUCGCUUGCUCCUCCGACGGCGCCGCUUCCCGACUUCCGGCGGCGAGCAGCCGGGCUGCGGAUGCGCCCUCGCUGGCCCAGGACGAUCUGGGACCCACGGGCGUAGUCUCCGCGGCAUCGGCGACGGCAACGGCGGCCGGCCGGCGGGAAGCUUUAGCUCCGGCCAGAUUGACGGCGCCCUCGCCGCCGGCUUCCGUGGAGAGCAGGUCGCUACCCAGAGUAGGUGUUGGUCAUAUGGUGUACAUCCCUGGUUUGACAAACCUGCUCCUUGAGUUCAGCGAACAUGUAAGCAACAUAACUUGUUUGAAGCUGCAUAUUCCAUAUAUAUUAUUUGAAGUUGCUGUAAUGCAUUUGUAAAAUAACUUGAAUUGUUCUCUUAGCUACAUAUAAAUAGCACAGAGAAUAGAUAAGUGCUUCAGAGAAUAAGGGUUCCAAGAGAUGAUGUAAUAAAGAUGGGGUCAACGUGGUUCCCUAAUUUUGGGGUACUUCGCUGACUUGGGCAACCCCAGGUACUUUAGUUUGGCUGACAAGCACGCCAGAACUGAGUUGCUACUAGUAGUGACUGGGUGACACCAACAUUGAUCUCACUGUUGUCUUCAGCCUUGGAAUUACUGAGUUUAUCAUGAUGUGAAAAUUGUGGCAUUUACUUGAAUUUGUGGUUCUUUUGUCGAGGGUGAUCUUCUCAAGGAUCUGAAUUUUGCACAAGUGACAAGUCAAAUGUUCUUGGGUUGUGCAAGCGGACUGCUGAUACAAACUGUUUUCAAUAAAAGCACAUAUGUUGCACACUUCACUUUUACACCCAUAGGUCCUCACAUCUUCCUAAUUAAGAUUUGAUAUCUUAGGAGAUAGUUCAAGCACUCGUCAAUAUAUGUGCAGUGGUGAAGUGUAUACCCUCCAAUCCUUGAAAUUUACUCAUCUUAUUUAAAUGUGUGUUUUACGAUGCAA